CGUAGUGUGUGUAUUUCCAAGUUUUCUUUAUUUAUAUCUUUUGGAACAGCGACCAAUUUAUCGAGGUACAGCCCUUACUUCAUUUGACGUGCCUCGGUUGUGUCGUCAAAGCGAGAUUUCUCGGCGGGCAUUCAGUUCCGUACGAUACUGCGCGUUCAACCGCAGCGGCAGGAUAAUACCGCGGCGGAUUUUGCCAAUCAUAUUUGAAGAAUGCAGACUAUGAGACGGACCCCUCAGUUUGAGUACAAAGAACCUCCGCCUACAGAAGUCCGCAGUGCUUUCCUUGAAUCUAUCUUCCAAGACUGUUGCAUCUGGACGUGACGAGGGUGAUGACUUCAGGGAAGUGGAAGGAACAGGAGAGGAAGACAUCUGGCAAUGGUCAUGACAGUUGUCCGUCAGGAAUCUACAGGUGGUGAGCAUGCGUAAGGAAUUGA